rnacentral:rRNA from 1 species
GCUUGCUUCUCCGAUAGUUAGCGGCGGACGGGUGAGUAACACGUAGGCAACCUGCCCUCAAGCUUGGGACAACUACCGGAAACGGUAGCUAAUACCGAAUAGUUGUUUUCUUCUCCUGAAGGAAACUGGAAAGACGGAGCAAUCUGUCACUUGGGGAUGGGCCUGCGGCGCAUUAGCUAGUUGGUGGGGUAACGGCUCACCAAGGCGACGAUGCGUAGCCGACCUGAGAGGGUGAUCGGCCACACUGGGACUGAGACACGGCCCAGACUCCUACGGGAGGCAGCAGUAGGGAAUCUUCCGCAAUGGGCGAAAGCCUGACGGAGCAAUGCCGCGUGAGUGAUGAAGGUUUUCGGAUCGUAAAGCUCUGUUGCCAGGGAAGAACGCUUGGGAGAGUAACUGCUCUCAAGGUGACGGUACCUGAGAAGAAAGCCCCGGCUAACUACGUGCCAGCAGCCGCGGUAAUACGUAGGGGGCAAGCGUUGUCCGGAAUUAUUGGGCGUAAAGCGCGCGCAGGCGGUCAUUUAAGUCUGGUGUUUAAUCCCGGGGCUCAACCCCGGAUCGCACUGGAAACUGGGUGACUUGAGUGCAGAAGAGGAGAGUGGAAUUCCACGUGUAGCGGUGAAAUGCGUAGAUAUGUGGAGGAACACCAGUGGCGAAGGCGACUCUCUGGGCUGUAACUGACGCUGAGGCGCGAAAGCGUGGGGAGCAAACAGGAUUAGAUAC